CAUGUUAAAGAAGUUGAUCUGUAGUAAUUACUAUUAACGUUUAAAUCUCAAACUUGUUACGUCGUGUUGUACUGAUACACUCGACCAAAUUGCUCACUACCUUAGAUAUACCAACCCCAGACCCGCCUGUGUGGAGUUUGCGUGUUCUCCCCGUGACUGAGUGGGUUUCCUCCGGGGACUCCGGUUUCCUCCCACAUUCCAAAAAACAUGCAAUAUUAAUUGGACACUCUAAAUUGCCCCGAGGUGUGAGUGUGUCUGUUUGUCUCCAUGAGCCCUGCGAUUGCAACCAGUUCAGGGUGUACCCCGCCUCCUGCACGUUGACAGCUGGGAUAGGCUCCAGAACUCCCCGCGACCCUUGUGAAGGAUAACUGGCAAAGAAAAUGGAUGGAUAUAUACACACACACACACACACACACACACACACAUUUGAAAAAUGUACGCGUGUGGUCAUUCAUGCUCGCAGAUAAAGUUGCGGGUGUGAUUAGGGAUGGCCUUAAAAUAACUUACUGGAUUACUAUAAUAUAACUGUAAAGUAAAAAUAAAAUCAAGAUAUAACUAAAAUAGAAAUCUACAUUUUCAAAGUCAGAAAUGAUAAUUUCCAAUUUCAACUGAUAUUUGUAGAACAUGAUAUAAAAUGGUAUUUAAAUUUUUUCAUCAAUAAAAAUUCUUGAUCUGACAAACUUUAUCUGAAGAAAUGUUCAAUGCACUGGCCUGUCAAGCAAUAAAGAUGAAUGGUCUAUACCCACAAUGUUUUGAAAAGGCUGAAAGUUUAUUUCAACAUAAUUGGCGUUCGUGGCAAUAAGCUAGCGAUACAUUGGAACAAACAUUUCUGUCGCCAGUCAUGAUGUGUUGUUGUGGGAGAGGGGGUCGGGGGAAGCACACAUCGCCGCGAUUGCCGUAAAUAGGUGGCCGGCUUGCAAGAACACUCCUUUAUGUGCAUGCGCUCGACGUAUUGGCCACACCUGAAUCAAGUGACGUGGUUGAUGACAGUGUAGCGUUUUUUUUUUUUUGGUUUUGUUUUGUACGCCGUCACACUGCGUCAUGAUCGACGCAAAGAACACCCCUGGUGCAACUGAAUUUCCUUUGAUAUGGCUCAAGAUGUUGAUGACUUUCCAUGUAAAUGUGCUCGCGGUUAACUUGAAUUUCCUGUUUCCGGGUGAAUACUGGUUGUUUUAGGGCAAGCUUGUUUAGUUAACAACGUUGAUUAAAUAAACAUGUAAAUUAAUGUCAAGACUACACAAAAUAAGCAACGUCUUGAGAGAAUGCGAGGGGAGGGGCGUUACAGUUACUUGAGUUAGUGCCUCAACAUGGCUACGUUCAUGAAAGGACUUUCAUCAAUGCAGUAGGUUAGUGCCCAUUAUUUCUGUCUUGUUGUAAUCUUGAUUUUAUCUGAAGAACACAGAACAGUACAUUCAAACUUUUUUAACUCAAGGUACAUAUUUUACAGUUCAAAAAUCUCACAACACACCAACAUACAAGAAUAUCAUAAGAAGUAGAUGCCUUAAUUGCUGUAAUAAUUUAUUGCUGUCAAAUGUAAGACCAUGAAUUAUUUCUGUCGGUAACCUUACCUCAUUGGCAUAAAUAAAUGAACAAAGAUGCAUUAUUUUGUGUAAAUAUACAUAUAUUUUUAGGCAAUUAAGUCCAUAAGUGUAUAUCGUAAAUGAACAGGUCAUUUAAAUAUAAUAAUUGCUUCAUCUUAUGAUCAUAUCGUUUUGUUUUUCUUUUUUUAAUUUGUUUAUCGUGUUAAACCUAGUUUUUAGGAGAAAGUAUACACAGGCACAAGGAGAACACCCAAACGCUACACGGGCAAGGAAGGGAUUUGAACCCCGGUGCUCAGAACUGCCAGAAAACGGUAAUAACAAAAAUGAACGACUCAGACAAUCGAGAACAUAUAGGUGACUUGCAGGUGACGUCACAUCCGUUUUGAAUUUUUUCUGGCCGCCAUAUUGGGAGGUCUCAUUUCGCUGGUUACAUUAGAUUACAUAAGACGCUUUUUGACUUCUGAGACGAUGGUGCACACGUGUUGUGUUAUUGGCUGCUAUAACAAGUUCAGCAAAGAAGGGAACAGACGCUUUUUCCGAUUUCCGAAAAUAAUUACGCACCAAGGACCCCAAACAGAAGAAAUGUCGAGCAAACGGCAAGCGAAGUGAUUCAAUAAUAUCUCGCGUUCAGAUCUCACUCAUCCCACAGUUUGAAGUCAUGUGUGCAGCGAUCACUUCAUAAGUGGUGCCCACCCUGACUCCAUUUUGGAUCGAACCAGAGGUCCUGAAAACCCAGAGGAAUCUUUCAAAGGUCCAGCUUUUCCUCCUCAUCAGCGUGUGACUCGUUCCCAAAUCUUGCAGGCACCCAUGUUAAGCCAAAGUUGGCCCGGCUACUGGUAACUCUGCUAUGUUUUACAAAUCUUUCUCUCCCACUGAUGUGAGUGUGUUGCUGCAGAAACUUCCACCCAUGGAAUCUGGUGGUGCCAAUUGGCUUCAAGCAGUGCAGAGAGCGGUUACGGGACUAAUGUUAACAGCAGGUGACAUCUGUGUUCUCCUUACACAAUCAUGUCCGCUUUCACAGUUGAACACUUUGAUGCAAAAUUCUGGUUUUUCUUUUCUCCCCGGUCAUUAGGCUCUUCAUGAGAAAAUAAUUUGACCUUGUCUACAGCGUUAGAUACUUUAUUCCCGCCCCGAGUGUGUCAUUCCAGAUUUGGUUGCUCCCAAAGCAGAUGAGGAGGCCGCAGCUUUUUUUGACCAAGCCCUCAGUGAUCACACUCUGAAAACAGGACACGCCCCUACAGCCUCUGCUUUGCAUUCGCAAGUGUUCCAAGCAGCCAUUUUGAAGGGCGUUCCCAAGUCUGUGGUGCAAGCCAUGGAGACCAAUCCGGACCUUCCUGGUGCUGAGGUUGACUGGUGGUAAACAUCAUUUGAGGAGACAUGCUAAAGAAAAAGAUUCCAAGGUUCAUUCAUGGGUCGAGGUGCGCCCCUGGUGGCUGUAACAUGUGCUUCAAUUGUGGACAGCCUGGUCAUUGCGGCCACGAGUGCAGACAGCGACCUCAAGUGUCUGAAUGGAGCAUGUGGCUACAAUCAAGGAGGUUACAACCAACUCCAAGAGAGUCAAACCAACAGUCACAGACUCUUUUGCCUUCUUUUGUGUUUGCAUCUAACUGUCCAGUCAAUCUUUUGGGCAGAGAUCUCUUCAUCGCCACAAGCCCUCUCAUCAAAUGCAGCCCUGAUGGACUCAUCCUGGAAUUUCCAGAUGGUAACACUUACUGCUGCUCUGCGCAUCCGGUGCCACCUCCCAGUUCCCGCUUGUUGAAGAAUGCCCUGUGGCAUGCGCCACUCCCGACAUCUACUGGCAAGAGUGGAUAUUGACUCCAGUGGUUGGCUCGAAGCUGAACACUUUUGGACUCUCUGGUCACCUUGGGUUCGCAACCUCAGAUCUUGUGAUAUGGUAACUAAUUGUAUGCAUUGCACUCUGUGCUAAGCAUACAAUUAGUUAUAAAGAGUUAUAAAACUGCAAAACAAUGAGACCAUGAAGAAAGAACCAUGGUCUAACUUAAGAUUUCCAAAUCUUUUUUUCUUGAUCAGUUCCAGGGACUCAUUGUUCCCGGGUUGGGAUUCAUGUUUUGAUGACAGGUGGAUCCAGGAACUCACAGAAUCUCAAGUCUAAAAUGAUAUAUAUUGACAAUUAAGGCUAAUAUGAAAGCCAGAUGACUAUGACGUGUUAGAAAUAAUAAAACUGUGAAGGUCAAGAACAAGAUGAAAAGUGUAAAAUAAAGUUCAAAUCUGAACUGUC